rnacentral:rRNA from 1 species
CCCUUAGAUGUUCUGGGCCGCACGCGCGCUACACUGACGAAUGCAACGAGCUUAUAACCUUGGCCGAAAGGUCUGGGUAAUCUCCAAAUUUCGUCGUGAUGGGGAGAGAUUAUUGCAAUUAUUAAUCUUCAACGAGGAAUGCCUAGUAAGCGCAAGUCAUCAGCUUGCGUUGAUUACGUCCCUGCCCUUUGUACACACCGCCCGUCGCUCCUACCGAUUGAAUGGUCCGGUGAAGCGUUCGGACCGUGGCCUUUGGACGGUUCGCCGUCUGUUGGCUGCGGGAAGUUCGUUAAACCUUAUCAUUUAGAGGAAGGAGAAGUCGUAACA